UGCUUUGACAGCACUGCUUUUUUAGUUCAGAAUGUUCUGUUAAAUGUUUGUUUUUUUAAUCAGUCUGGAUGUGACUACCUUUUUUAAUGCAUUUUCGUCAUGACUCUAGAAAUGGGAAACUCGCCUCUACAAACAGAUGUGGCACAUAACGUCACUGAUUAAAACAGAUGAAAAAGCCAGCUGUCAGACAAUGAUUCAACAGGCUCAGGACUGCUCAUCUGGAACCCAGGGCACAAGGUCAAGUACUUCCCCUCAUUCAACCGCACACAAUACCCAUGGUUACUCUGUAUUUUUAGCUUCAAGAGUUUUCUAUCUUUGGUACUGGUUUGUGUGUUGUUUUUUGGUUGUUUUUUUCACCAGCAAUCCCAGCAUCAGUAAAGUUUCGAAGUGAAGAGCUGCCAGGAAGCUCUCUUGGAAGGCUUCUGGUGUUAACCCAUAUGCUGACGUACCUCCCACACUCAGAUCUGCAGGGGUGGCAGGUAGAGGUGACACCUCCCUCAGGGAAGCAGAUAGCAGUGGAAUUUUCUGAGGCCUUCCUUUAAGGGAGAACUGCAGGAUAUUGAUGAGCAGCAUACUGCCUGACUCGUGAUACUCCCAAGAGUGGUAAGAAUUUUAAUGGCUGCUCAGGUCAGUUUCAGUAACAACACUCUAAUUUGCAUGAAGCUUGAGAAGGGGUUCUUCUCUGAUCUUCUCAUUUUGCUAUUUUAAUCAAUUCAUGAGUACGCUUUAGUACACAGACCCUUCUCUGCUGUGCUAGUAACUCAGCCUUCAAAGCAAUGGGUUCAGAACUGUGCACUGCCAAGGCAGAACUGGAGGCAGUCAGUGCUCAGGAAAGUAUGAGUUGUUUAUCUGGUUCAUUCUAGUUACAUUAUCUCUCUUUUUCACUUGUAGAAAGAAACAUAGGUCAAAUCUCUCCCAAAGGUCUGAAGAGUACUCUAUGCUUUAGUCCUUCUUGGAGUACUUGUAUAAUGCAGAGUCAGCUACUGAAGCUUGUGCCUUUUCUCCACCUUCAACAGACACUGGAUUCACCUGGAUCUCCUUUUAUGAAACGGAGAAAAUUACUGAAGAGGGAGGCAACAUAUACACAUGGUACCUAUGUGACACCUCAAGCUGAAAACAAAAACAGUGUAGUGUAACGGCAGGAAGUGGUUCUUGAGGGAACAAUUUUCCCAGGCUCUUGUGCCAUUUUAAACCUUGCUCACCUAAGCAAAACACUGCAAGUCUUGAAGAAUCCUCACGGGCUGACAACUCUGUGGGACAGUGUAGGGGCAAACUGCAAUCUGUUCAAGGUAGAGGAAGAGAAAGGGCACAUGCAUACCUCUGUGGAGGUGCCUCCUCAGCAAAGUCAGGUAUCAAAGAAGUCUGCGGAGGACUACAGAUGACUGGGUAGUUUCUCUGGAAAACCUGAGUACCUUUUUUCAUUGGCCAUUUGGUAGUG